rnacentral:rRNA from 1 species
CCAAUAGCGUAUAUUAAAGUUGUUGCAGUUAAAAAGCUCGUAGUUGAAUUUCGGGAUUAGUAAGUUGGUCGUGCCUCUGGUAUGUACUGGCUUUACUGGUUCCUCCUUCUUGAAGAACUGUAAUGUCAUUAAUUUGGUGUUGCAGGGAAACAGGACUGUUACUUUGAAAAAAUUAGAGUGUUUAAAGCAGGCUAACGCUUGAAUACAUUAGCAUGGAAUAAUGAAAUAGGACGUUUGAUCCUAUUUUGUUGGUUUCUAGGAUUGACGUAAUGAUUAAUAGGGAUAGUUGGGGGCAUUAGUAUUCAAUUGUCAGAGGUGAAAUUCUUGGAUUUAUUGAAGACUAACUACUGCGAAAGCAUUUGCCAAGGAUGUUUUCAUUAAUCAAGAACGAAAGUUAGGGGAUCGAAGACGAUCAGAUACCGUCGUAGUCUUAACCAUAAACUAUGCCGACUAGGGCUCGGAUGAUGUUAAUUUUUUAAUGACUCAUUCGGCGCCUUACG